rnacentral:rRNA from 1 species
GACGAACGCUGGCGGCGUGCUUAACACAUGCAAGUCGAACGGAAAGGCCCUGCUUUUGUGGGGUGCUCGAGUGGCGAACGGGUGAGUAACACGUGAGUAACCUGCCCUUGACUUUGGGAUAACUCCAGGAAACUGGGGCUAAUACCGGAUAGGAGCACCUGCGGCAUGGUGGGGGUUGGAAAGUUUCGGCGGUUGGGGAUGGACUCGCGGCUUAUCAGCUUGUUGGUGGGGUAGUGGCUUACCAAGGCUUUGACGGGUAGCCGGCCUGAGAGGGUGACCGGCCACAUUGGGACUGAGAUACGGCCCAGACUCCUACGGGAGGCAGCAGUGGGGAAUAUUGCACAAUGGGCGGAAGCCUGAUGCAGCAACGCCGCGUGCGGGAUGACGGCCUUCGGGUUGUAAACCGCUUUCGCCUGUGACGAAGCGUGAGUGACGGUAAUGGGUAAAGAAGCACCGGCUAACUACGUG